CAAAGGAUAGUUUAAAGAAAAUAUUAAUUUUGGAGGUUAAUGAUAAGGGUUUCUUUCCUUUGA
rnacentral:tRNA from 1 species